CUUUUAGUAUAAAUAUGUCCAUGAAGUAUUUGAAACAUACUUAUAGUAUAA
rnacentral:miRNA from 1 species